rnacentral:misc_RNA from 1 species
AACAUCGCGCACCUGCGGGAACCUGCGGAAGGAUCAUUACAAGUGACCCCGGUCUAACCACCGGGAUGUUCAUAACCCUUUGUUGUCCGACUCUGUUGCCUCCGGGGCGACCCUGCCUUCGGGCGGGGGCUCCGGGUGGACACUUCAAACUCUUGCGUAACUUUGCAGUCUGAGUAAACUUAAUUAAUAAAUUAAAACUUUUAACAACGGAUCU